AGCAGUUUAACGCAGAUGGCACAGCUGCAGGAGACUUGGAGAGGAAGGUGAUUACAAUCAGUGAAUUAGCAACCUCUGCGGAGCACUGCCUUCUGACCCUGGAGAAAGGGCGUUGUGCGAGCUCUGCAGAAGGAAAGGCGCUCUAGAAGCAGCCGAGCGCAGGGCUUUCAAGGGGCGCUCUGAAGCCUUUCGCUCCCCGGAUGGGCUAUCCCAGCGCCCCAGCACCAGGUGUAGAUCGCCUACCGUGCGCUCGCGUCUCUCGGGCUGCACGGCGUGCCUAGGCGCGGCGCUCCAUGCCAGGCUCUGGAAGCGAGCCGGGCUGUUUGGUCAGCACGUGGGCUCGGAAAAAGUUUGCGGACACCCGCCGGGAGCUCUUGGCAGCUUUAGGAUUCCGCCGGCUGCAGAAGGGUCCGCGGACCCCGAGGGUCCUCGGGGCUGGCGGCGCCUAGCAAAAGCGCGCGGCCGGGCAAGCGCGACCGCAGGCGCUGAGAUGCUGGGUCUCCGCCUGCGAGAGCGAUUCCUAGUCGAGGGGCGCGUCCACUCUCUUCUUGGUGUCCGGGUCCAGUCGCUGCUCCCAGGGCUCUCUCCACCACCACUUCGCAGCUGAAGUUUCUCGCUGCCUGAGCUAAGGGAGACAGAACACUGCCCGGAGGCCGAAGGGAUGUAGCCAGCGCACUUUCCGAUGGAGAUGCAGACAAGCUAAGGCUCGGGAUGCUUCUAUAAGUAGGUGGUGCUGUGGUCCAAGACAUCUAAAGCCAGGCUGCCUCAGAGUUCCUGGGUCCUAAAGCCAGAAACGCUCGGGUUUCCCUGAGGUCCUAAAGAGUACUGACGGCAUGCAGAGAGCUUCGUGUAAGAAAAAUAAUGCUCACCCGGCUUUCCCAGAGGGAUGGUCUAAACUGAAGAGCACCUAGGGUGAGCGAUAUGGCCUGCCCUUGCUGUUCACACCCAAGGUGUCCUCUCGGGAACAAUGGAGUCGAUUCCCACCUCACCAAUUAGCCUUUCUCCAGAAGAAUUUGAUGGGGAACUGAAGGUACCUUCUACUUUCCUCCUGAGUGCCAGGAUGAGACUGCUGCUUCUGAAAAAACACUUCAGCCUU
rnacentral:lncRNA from 1 species